CGGGUGAGUAACACGUAUCCAACCUGCCGUCUACUCUUGGACAGCCUUCUGAAAGGAAGAUUAAUACAAGAUGGCAUCAUGAGUCCGCAUGUUCACAUGAUUAAAGGUAUUCCGGUAGACGAUGAGGAUGCGUUCCAUUAGAUAGUAGGCGGGGUAACGGCCCACCUAGUCAACGAUGGAUAGGGGUUCUGAGAGGAAGGUCCCCCACAUUGGAACUGAGACACGGUCCAA
rnacentral:rRNA from 1 species